GCUGACCUGCCACUGCAGCAGGUCAGUGGGCCUGCUGUGCUACACGAUAGCUGGAUUAAGGCUCCAGUCUCUUCGGAGGCGUGGGUUCGAAUCCCACCGCUGUCAGUA